AUGCACACUUUGUAGGCAAAUAUUCUAAAUCUAGAAUGAUGCAGAGGAGAUUAGCAUGGCCCCUGUAUCAGGAUGAAGACAAAUUAGUGAACCUGAAAGUUUUCAU